rnacentral:lncRNA from 1 species
GACGCGAAACUCCUGCCUUAAAGCCCUAAAUGGCGGCUUCAAUAUCAGUCCCACUGAGCAUGAAAUUCAUUUACUUAAAUAAAAUCUGAAUCUCAGCCCAAACCUGGGAGAUUCAAAACCUGAGAGCGGUCUUACCAAAGACGCCCGUAUGUCUGGUGAAGUCAGUUGGAUGCAAGCAGUUUGUGCUGGUACCAGGGCCCCAGCUACUGAUGAAGUGGCAGGAGUCCACAGAAGCCUACUUCGAAGUUCCCGGGGCUUCCAGGGGAGAUUGACGAGAUUCCUGGGGAGGCGAUUCAUGACAGCUGAGUUCCUUUUGGAGGAUCCGUCUUCAGGCAGUCUGAUCCCCCAGGAAAGCAGCUGGAAAACAAGAGCAUGUGAAGGAAGCGCAGCAGCUCCUCGCCAGCCAGACAGCCAGCCCCGCACCGCAGGAGUCGACAUGCACGGCAGCCUAGACGCCAUCAGUUAAACUUAUAUGUAGGCUUGUUGAGGAAAACGACUUUCAAACACAAGGCAAAAGAAAAACAUGAAACCAAGGGUUCCAACAUUCAUCAUCCAGUUUCAGAGACACCCUUGAAGGAAUGCUACAGCCUCUUUCUUACCCAUUCAAACCAGUCGCUCUGCUGCAUACCCACAUCACAGGAGGCCCUCAGCCCCGACACACAGGCUCACUCAGCCCGGGGACAUCAGCACCUGUGCCAGCUCCGCAAGGUAUCCACCAUGCGGCCAGAACUGAGGCCCAGCAAUAGCUGAAAUGUCCUUUAAAUUAACAUGUACAACACACAACCCCCAAGAGCUGACAUCCCCAAAGCCCCACCACAAAUAGCUGACUCCUACUUAUACCUGCAGGAGCAGGUAGUGACCUCUGCAAUUCUAAACCGUCCACUUUGGGCAAAAUUCAUCAAGCUAUGGAUAUGAAAAAAGGCCCCCAAGGAUAUGAUUCAUAGUCCAGCGUUUGAGUGAGCACUCCAGUCAGAACGAACUCUGCAUUGUGAACAUCUGAACAGGGUGGAAACAGACACUUUAGUUAGAGAUCCACUGCUGUGCGUGCACACAUACUCACACAGGAAAAGAAAAUGAGUUUCUCAGUGACCGAACGCUGAAUGUGAUACAGGGCAAUGACGGACUCGCUGGCGGACUCCACUCUACCCACCGAGUUCUGCUUGUGCUCCAUGAGCUUCCGGAAAGAUGGCUGCUUGGAUAACACCUUUCCUCCUGCACACUCUACGAUUGCCUUCAUAGUGGAAAGACUUGGGCAGAUUCCAGGUGUGAUGUAAAAAUAUUUUGCCUAAAAUUAAAUGAAAAUAUAUGUAUUAUGUUCUUAAAAUGCUUUAAUUUUUAGAGUACAUAAUUCUCAUAGAUUCUGCCCUGAGAUUUUUGACAAAAUUUCAAAUUUUAUGACAUUAUGAAGGUACUAUUCUCCUACUAGCACUCAAUCUGAAGUGGAAGAGGAAUCCAGCUAUGUAAAUUUGGAAUGUAAGCAUUUUCACAUGUUAAGUAUGCCUGAAGAUGAUUUAAAGUAACCAGAACUUAAGUCCCUAAAACAAAGUGUUUUGUGAAUAAGCAAGAAUAUUACAAAUAUUUUUCACAAUUUCUAUACAAUUUUAAAUCAGCAUUAUAUUUCACCACACUUAUCUGCCCAGCAACAGCCUCUGGCAUAGCAUGCUGCCUGGCUUAUAUCCCUUUUCUUUAUUUUCUCCAUAUUAUUUGAACUCAGAGCAGGAAAUGAUAUUGAUGCUUAAGAUUUAAUUAUCUAACAAGAUUGCUCCUGAGGAUACCACAAAAUACUAUUCUGUCUGAAACUGCAAAUAAUUUCUAAUUCCUGUUGACUCCUUAAGAAGGUUAAAGAACCGAUUAUCUUUAUUGAUUUACUUAGUUCUUUGGUACAAAAAAAAUUCCUAGCUGUUCUAACACUUAUCUAACAUUUAAAAAUCUUUUAGUACUGAAUUAUAUCUAUGCACACACUGAAUAUUUUCCCAAGUAUCUUCUCCAGCUGAAUAUACAUUUACUGACAAUAGUACGAAGUAAGCGAUGU